ensembl:lncRNA
UUCCAUGCAUAAAGUUGGCUCUGUGUGCUAGUGUGUGUGUGCAUAAGAAAGCAGUGCAUGCUUGGAUCUGUUUGUCAGUUCUUGCUGGCCCUUUGUGUGUGUGUGUGUGUGGUGUGUGUGUGUGUGUGUGAGAGAGAGAGAGAGAGAGAGAGAGACUGAGUUAAGUCAGAAUCUAGGUAAAAGCAGUAAAGUGACAUUUGCAUAGCAGGACCUUGUGCUCCAAUUGAAAUUGUGGCUCUGAACCAUGCACAUGUACCACGUUUACCCUCCAUAUACACACACACACACACACACACACACACACACACACACACACACACACACAUACACAAACAAGCUCCACUGUACUCAGCUGGGCUCAACAUAGCUCAGUCGCACCUCUCUCACCCCCAGCCUUUACCUCUUAACUAGGCUGAGUCAUCUGGAAGCAUGGUGUACUUAAAAGCACAUGGUUUCUUAAGAAGGGUGUGAGAACAUUUUCCACUGGUGUGUGUGUGUGUGUGUCUCUCACUAGACUGUUUCUCUAGUGCUAUGUGGAUGUGACUUCAUUUUGGUGAUUUGCACCUUUACUGUUUGCACUGCUUGUGUGUGUGUGUGUGUGUCCUGUGUGUGUAUUGUGACGGGAGGGGUUUGUGCCACAAGUAGGCUAUCCUUUCUGGGGAUGCAGCAGAUGUGCCUGAUGAUACUUCUGUGUCUUUCCUAGUGGAGCAGUGGAGCUUUGUGCACCUUUUUCAUGGUUGGAACUAGUGCUUUUUGCACCUUUUUUUGUAGAGGACCUUAGGGGGCCAUGCACCUUUAUUUUGUAGAUUCAAAGUGAGAUGGUUUCUGGACUAAACCAAUGGAACUGAGUGCAUGAGAGUUUGUUUGUGUGUGUUUGUGCGAGUGAGUGAGUGAGUGAGUGUGUGUGUGUGUGUGUGUGUGUGUGUGUGUGAGUGUGACUGCCAGAGGCUCCUUGAAAGCAGGACCCAGUCUUGUCAUUGAGAACGAGUUGUAGUGAUACACGGUGUAAAUAUCGACAGGAUUGUUGAACUGAUUUUUACAGUGUUUUAGACUUCUUUUUUUUUUUUUGUAGGACUUGUGAGUGUCAAGGAUUCUUUUUUUUUAUUUACAUUUUUUUAGGUGUCCUUUUCCCCUCCUUCUUUUUCUAGUUUUAGUUCCUAGAUGUUUCUUUUUCUUUUCCUUGUUUUUUGGAAACGUGUAUAGAUUAAAGAUACUGAGUGGAGGCUUCUUGCUUCCCAGCAUGCAUCAGGCUAGAGAAUCAGACCACAGCCAGGCCUAUGGGUCCAUUAGUUGGUCUCCAUGGUGAGAAAAACAGUCCGGUUAGGCUGUCUGAACAGUAGACUUCAUCACAUGAUCCUUUUAGUCUUGUUUACUCUGUGACUGAACUGAAUGGUUACUACAGAUUGUUUGGUUUUUUUUCUAGAUGUUCAUGAGCUGCAUGAAUGUAUGCCGGAGGUCCUUCAGUUUAUUACCUGCGUAUUCCUCUCCCUUUUAAUAACUCCGUUUUUGUUUUUGUUGUCGUUUUUUUUUUUUUUUUUUCAACCAAGCUUGUAGAACGUGUACUGUACUGUACUCUAUAGAAAGAGAAAGAGAGAAAUCUACUAACACAUGGUUGAGUUACCAAUUGUUUGUUUUGUUUUUGCAAAAGGAAAAAAAAAAGGAAAAUAAGAUAAGAUAUGAUAUGGGGGGGGAAAAGUAUAGGACAGAGCAUUUGCCUAUUUUUUCAUUUUUGAUAAGGAUUCAAGUGCUGAAUUUGUGUAGGGAACGGGGAGCUUUAAGAGAGAUUAUGGUGCUAUUGGAAGGUCACUUGAAGCUGGCCCACGUUUGGUGACAUUUCAUAUAUCUGAGGUGUUCUUAACCCAAAUUGUUUCUCCCCCCCCCCCCCCCCCCUCCCCCUACUGUCUGGUACUGGCACAUUUUAAAGCAUUUCCUGCACCCCCCAAGGUAACUCCAAUCUUGUCUAGGGAACGUUUGUCUGGCUGUAUAAGUACUGUGUUUGUUUUGGUGGUGUCUCCACACACACACACACACACACACACCCUCCCCCCCAACCACCCAUCCCCCCCCCCUGCUUCUGUUGAGGUGCCUAGGUGUGUGAACGGCUCACCUCCUAUAUUAGUCCCCUCAAGCAUCACCUCAGACAUGGCUCUGUAGUGCCACUCGUGGGAUGCCACUGGAUUGACAGCCUCCAUUUUGAUGGCACGGAUCCGAUCUGCCGCAUGGUGUGCCGCCUGAGGGAGAAAGGGGGGCAGUAGGCUGGCAAUGGAUCCGUGUGUCUCUGUUGCCAUCUGGUGUUUUUUUAUUGUAAUUGCAGUUCACCUCGGUGUUCUUCUUUUCCGAUCACCUUUAGAGGGCACUACAAGCUAACGUAAAGAGUGCCGCUAGAGUGGAGUGGUUGGCUUUAUGAUCAAAGUUCGUAUGUGCGGUGGCGUUUUUGUGUGUGUUGAUUUCUUUUUUUUGCACCCUAGUUGUACUCUCAUUUUUUGAGUUUCGGAUUAUGUUUCAUACUUUUAAUAUAUAUUUGUGUUUCCUAUGGGUGUUUAAAGUUUAAAAGAUCAUCUUCCAAGUGACCCGUGCAAAUCAAUCCAAAGUGAGCUAGGGUGGAACCGUACAACCAUUGAGUGUGAAUGUGUGUGUGUGUGUGUGUGCGGAACCGAGCUUUCUCGUCAAAAAAAGGAGAUGACGUUUUGACGGGUAUGCACCUUCCCCUCCCUCCCCUCUGGAGAAGCACCUUUUUGGGGGUUCCAUUAUAAACGUCUACCCCCUUCUGGCACCUUGCAAUCACUCCGUGUGUGUGGAGGGUAGGGGAAGGCCAGGCUGCUUAGGCUAGCCUGUGUUUGGCUGUGACUGAGUGAAUGUUAUGAUUUGGGGAUUGUUCAUUUCUUAUUUUUAAUUUUAAUUUUUUUUUUUUUUUUUCAAUUUCGUGUUUCUAAGACAUCUUUCCAAUCUCCAAACUAAGGCAGGUCCUUUUUAAAGGGUAAUGUUGUAGUGAGGCUUAAUGAUCUGACUGUGACCUGAGAUAUAUAAAAAAAAAAAAAAAAAAAGACAGACGAGAGAGAAAGGGGGGUGUCUAAUGAGGAAAAGGGUUGGAGCUGACCGAUGUUCUACCUCUCUCUCAUUUUCAAAUGCAGUCAUUUGGGUCUUUUCGUUCACCUCUUGGGUGUACUCUUCCACAGAUACCCUUUUCCUAAACCUGAUUUAGGGGGUCUGGGCAGAAUCUUUGGCAGAGAUCCACACAUCACAUGUGGACUCCUUAUGCAGCCAGAGGUAUCAUUCACUGACUUACGGAGGUGUGCUCGAGAUUAUGUGUGGCUGUGUGGAGCACAUCCGCUUCGCUCCUCACCUAUCCAGGUAGGAGCCUUGGCUAGUUUAACCCCUGACGUGCAGAAUUUGCUCACAGUACAUGGAAAGUUGCAGGGCAGUUUCAAAACAACAACAACAACAGCAUCUCGUGCGUUGGUAUGCUAUAGAAUGAAAAUAACAGUCGAAGAAAUGAAUGGUAGUAUUAUCAAGCUAACCUCAGACAGGAAAGUACAAAACUGCUUGCUGAAGCACACACUGACAGACAAGGCUAAACAAAAUAUGGGGUGUUGAUUUGUUUUUGUUUGUUUGUUUUUUUGUAAGAUGCAACCUCUUUGGCGGUGUGUCUGGGGGGUCAACAGAUCCCAGAUUCACUCUUUAUAUAAAUAUAUAGAGAUAUACAUAUAUAAAUAUAUAUACUGUAUAUUAUACAUAGAAGCACUACUGAAGUUUGAUUGUUCAUUGUGCACUCACAGCAUGAAGUGUAACCCAGAAACCACGCUUUUGGAAACCAAUGCAGUGGCGUCUACUGAUGUCAAAGAACCCACCCCACCCCCUUACACGUGCCGUAACCCCUAGCUGUGAUUUCCCCCCCAUUUUCCCACCCCAGUAAAAGCCAGUGCUCAUUCCGUUUAUCAUGUGUUUCAAAGUGCCAAUAACUUUGUGAAUCCCUAACUGUGACCCAAUAUUAUUCAAAGUAAUUGCACAUUAACUACUGUAAAGGAUCAAAAUGAAAACAAAAAUGAUAAAUCUGAAUAUCUUAAUAAUAAAAAAAAAAGGUUUGUAACAAACUGAAGGUGCUGCAUGUCUUUGUCCAUCUUGAAGGUUUGUCGUUACUGUUAGCUGCGUUUGUGUAGUGCGUAGACCGGCUGUGAUCCAGUCCUCCAUGGCAACAUCUCCACCUGGUGCCGUAGCUGGUCACGAUGACCCUGUGCAAGAUCCCAGGCACUUCUUGUUUCUCAGGUUACCCGCUCAUCACAGCGUACACUGAGGCCUGGAGGCUUGGCUCAAAUGCAGGCCCUUUGUUGGGCAAGCUUCCUCCUC